rnacentral:lncRNA from 1 species
CCGCUGCCUUCAACCUUCUUCCCCUCUUCCAAAUAGUUAUUUGGCAUCCCACUUUGUGCCAUGUAAGGUUCGACUCCAUCACUUGAGGAGUCUUGACUUGACCAACUUCGUUUACUCGAGGAGGCUUGGCCUUCUGCUCCCCUCAAUGUUGGUACUCUCACAGUAAAUUUCUUCAUUCACUUCUUUUGAGUAAAAUAAUCUCCGUCCCCUUGAAAUUGGGCUUUGGAUCAGUAGCACUGGUGUUGACUCCCAAAAAAUUGUUUAGCAAAUACACAUAACCAGUACAUCAAGUUUAGCAUGGUUUGCUCUUGGGAAAUCUGUAACCGCUAUUGUCUUAAUUUCUGAAACAUUGUGCUUGAAAUAUUGCGGUGAAGAUUCAUAUUCAAUUUUCUCACUAACUUGGAUAGGCAAAUUAGUUUUUGGAUCCUAAUUUAUAAUGUAUUCAUGAGACUCUGUUCUAGCAUUCCUUUGUUUUUUUUCGUUUUUUUAAAAGUUUAUAUUGCUAGGUAAAACGCAAUGACACUUCUAUGCAUUCUUCCUUGCUCGGAUUAAUUCUCUGCUGGUAGAGGGAGAUACCUCAUCUUUAAGAAAAGUUGUUACAGACAAAACGUAUUCUGUAAGAUUUCUUUCUCUCUCAUAGUCAAGCUCUUUAUUUAGCAUAUCUUAGAAGAUUUUAGGUUUGCACCCUUUAUCUAUGAGCAGUAUUUCAUUUGAGAAAAUCAUAGUCACGGUUCAUAUUGCGUAUAUAACAUCUUGCUGUUGAUAUUUUGGUUAAGGACACUCAAGAAUGAACUCAAAUGAAGAGAAUCUAUGUGGAGUUCCGUAUAUUGGGAAUUGCUUGAGCCUG